rnacentral:rRNA from 1 species
UACAGAGGGCGCGAGCGUUGUCCGGAAUCACUGGGCGUAAAGGGCGCGUAGGUGGCCACCAUAAGGCCGCGGUGAAAGUUCGGGGCUCAACCCUGAAUCGGCCGCGGCGACUGUGGGGCUGGGGCACCGUAGAGGCAGAUGGAAUUCCGGGUGUAGCGGUGGAAUGCGUAGAGAUCCGGAGGAACACCAGUGGCGAAGGCGACACGCUGGGCCGUACCUGACACUGAUGCGCGACAGCAUGGGGAGCAAACAGG